GUAGGGUGCGAGCGUUAAUCGGAAUUACUGGGCGUAAAGCGUGCGCAGGCGGUUUUGUAAGACAGAUGUGAAAUCCCCGGGCUUAACCUGGGAACUGCGUUUGUGACUGCAAGACUUGAGUGUGGCAGAGGGGGGUGGAAUUCCACGUGUAGCAGUGAAAUGCGUAGAGAUGUGGAGGAACACCGAUGGCGAAGGCAGCCCCCUGGGUCAACACUGACGCUCAUGCACGAAAGCGUGGGUAGCAAACAGGAUUAGAUACCCUGGUAGUCCACGCCCUAAACGAUGCGAACUAGGUGUUGGGGAAGGAGACUUCCUUAGUACCGCAGCUAACGCGUGAAGUUCGCCGCCUGGGGAGUACGGUCGCAAGAUUA
rnacentral:rRNA from 1 species